UGCUGGAAACUCAUGAAGAAGAAGCGCCAACACAUGCUCUCACAACCAUGGAUGUACAGAGCUGGAUGCCGGAUCAAAAAUGGGGCCCAUUCAGUCCUAUCAGAGUUGCUCCCCUGGCACAUACAACAAAGAAGUGAGAUUAAAGGCUGACAAUUGACUGAUAAAUGCAAUGUGACUUUUCAGGGCUUUUUCUUGGUUUUUGAAAAGUUUUACAAAGAUUGAAACUCCAUGGCUUAAAAAUGUAAAAUACAAUGAAUUAUGAUUGACUUUGUAUAUAGCUGGAAGUGUCCUGUCAACAAUUUUACAGGUGUCUCUUUUACAGUGACGGUCUACGGCCAAAAUGCAUUUUGGCCCACAGGGGAUUUUUCUUUGCAAUACCACGAGUUGCCAAUGGAAAAAACCUGCUGCAAGGUUAAGCAUGGCACAGAGUUUGUAUCCAGUUCUUAUAAUACAUCUACGAUCCAGACCUCAUCGUCUCUCACUUUCCCCUCCGCCCUAUCAAACCAAUCAGAGGCGGUUGCAAGGCUGAACAGAAUUACUUGGCUAAUUGGCGUUUGGCGACAACACAUUGGCGUUGUGUUGUCAUUGGCUACGUCCUGUGUCGUCAUCGGUCAUGACCUAUGGGAGGAGCGCGGAGAGGCGGAGAAACAAAGUCGGAAAGCACAUUAAGACCAAUGUUUGAACCGUUUCCUCUGUUUGUUAAUACUGUUGGAAAACUUCAUUACCGAAGAAGCCUGCAUACUAAAAUGAACUUUGGAGCUGCUUUUUUGUCGAACACGAGUGAGGCUGGACGCUGAAUACAUCUGCGGCGGGAGGGUCUACUUGUUCAUCUGCUGCUGCUUGGACAGACCCCGACAUCACCUUACAAAUCAACAGUUGUCACCAUUUUGUCUAUGAUCACAGAGACACUGUCAAGGAUGAGGGAGACAUUGUCCACGAUCGCAGAGAGUCCUUGUACGAUAAAGAAGUUCUUUGAGACCAGGACUGAGUCCUCCAGGUGUCCCCACAUCGUCCACGAUCCCAUCGAUCACGAGACCUUGGCAAAGAUGAAACGUUGUCCAUGAUUUGCAGACACUGGGGUCACAGAUUCCUCAUCCAUGAUCACAUUCUUUGUACAAUGAAGUUCUUUGAGACCAGGGCCAAGUCCUCCAGAUUAAUUGACAGAAACGGGAUCCACCAAUGGUAAAGGUGGAGAAGACCACAUCACCUGAGUGAGGAAGGCAGUCUCUCUAUCUAAAGAUAUGUGUACAUAAUAAAACUUACAAAGACCUUCUGGAAAUAUCUUCCUGUCUCCUCCCUUUGUGACUUCAUUGUUUGACUCCUGUACAGAAACAUAAACAUGUGCCUUGUUACAAAUCAAAAUUAGAGCCGUUUCUGGAUGUUUAACUCAAAACUGUCAAAAGAGAGAUGUAAAAGACAGUGAAUCUAAAAAGCAAUCAAAGUGUGGACUUACUGGUGCUGACUACUCCAAAGACAGAAAAGGUUGCUCUGACUGAAGAACUGACUACACCAGAUACUGACACAAAUAAAAUACCUGGAGGACUCGGUCCAGCUCUCAAAGAACUACUUCAUUGUGCAAACACACUCUACAAUCAUGGAC